rnacentral:rRNA from 1 species
UACGGGGGGGGCAAGCGUUGUUCGGAAUUACUGGGCGUAAAGAGCUCGUAGGCGGCCGGUUGCGUCUGCUGUGAAAUCCCGGGGCUUAACCCCGGGCGUGCAGUGGAUACGGGCCGGCUGGAGGCAGGCAGGGGAGAAUGGAAUUCCCGGUGUAGCGGUGAAAUGCGCAGAUAUCGGGAGGAACACCGGUGGCGAAGGCGGUUCUCUGGGCCUGUACUGACGCUGAGGAGCGAAAGCGUGGGGAGCGAACAGG